GUACUACUCCCUCCGUUCGGAAUUACUUGUCUCGGAAAUGGAUGUAUCUAGAACUAAAAUACGUCUAGAUAUAUCCAUUUCUGCGACAAGUAAUUCCGAACGGAGGGAGUAAAUA
rnacentral:pre_miRNA from 1 species